UUUUAAGACAUUUGAGACAACGUGCUUUUCAAGUCAUUUAAGACAGCGUGCUUUGUAAGACAAUUGAUACAUCGCGCGUUUUAAGACAUUUGAAAGCUCGUACAUUUUUAAAAAAAGUAUUGAGAGCUCGUGCUUUGUAAGGUGUCGGGAUAUCCCUGGUGUAUAUGAGGAUGCUGUAAUGUUCUGGUUUUAAAAUUGAUAAUAGAAUCAACAAGUGCGCCCCAUACUUAACAUAUCGACUGAAAGUCCACUCUUUAUGACGAUAGCAAAAUCUUUGGAGUGUUUGGUGGAGGCCGCAGACAAAGGAAAACAACGUGAGCGUGAGGCAGAGGAGGAAGAAGGAGACCUUGAUGUCACCGAACCAGACAGCGAAUGGGUUCGUCAAAAAAGAAUCCAGGCGCUGACCCGCAAUGAGGUUA
rnacentral:lncRNA from 1 species